GUCAACAGUGGAGCCGUUGGCAGGAAAACAUGCCUGGGCUUAUUUCUACAAUGGAAUUAUUGUGUUCAGCUUGUUUGGACUCAACAGAAUAUAUGGAGCAAUGGCAUGUGAUGAAAGUAAAACUGUAACCUGGAGUUGGAUGACAAGAAAUCAGGGGACACUUUGGCCAACUGAUAUCAACAGGAACUUGGAUUUCCACAAUUUGUCAGGAAUUUAUUUCAUCUGGCGCGUCAACGUGUCUGCAACAAAGGCUGGUGACACAACUAAUGCAGGAGAUAAGAAGUGGAUAUUUAAUUGAUGUGAGCACCAAGUGGCUACUUGAGGAGACUUUCAAUGCAUUGGUUAUGGAGACUUUCGACUCUUAACAGAGCACAGCUUAGUAGCCAUCUGAGCUGUUCUCUGUCAAGUUGUCUCAGCACAUUUGAAGCUGUUGCAAGAACACUUGUCAGACAAUCUGUAGCAAUACAUUUCUCCAAUGGUUUGGACACGACCUUGUGUGUUCUCUGCACUGUUUGUUUAGUUAGUCUUUGUGUUAUCCUUCUUAGAGCAAUAAAUAGUUGAUUAUGAUUUGACACAUAUGCAAUUCUAUGCAAUACUGUUGGUAUAUGAAAUGGGUAUUCUAGUCAAUUUUAAUUAAUUAAUACAUUAAUUAAUAAAAUCAAA